rnacentral:rRNA from 1 species
AUAAUAAUUAGUCUUUUAAUUGAAGGCUGGUAUGAAUGAUUGGACGAGAUAAAAUCUGUCUCAUUUAAAUUAUUUUUUUAAUUUAAUUUUUAAGUUAAAAAGCUUAAAUUUUAUUAUAGGACGAGAAGACCCUAUAGAGCUUUAUAAUUUAAAUUAAUUAUUUUUUAACUUCAAGAUUGUUAUUUUAAAUUAUUUUAUUGGGGCGAUAGGAAAAUUUGAUAAACUUUUUUAUUUUUAAACCAUAGAUUAAUGAUUAAUUGAUCCUAAAUUUUAGAUUAUUAGAUUAAGUUACCUUAGGGAUAACAGCGUUAUUUUUUUUUAGAGUUCAUAUUGAUAAAAAAGAUUGC